CGAACGCUGGCGGCGUGCUUAACACAUGCAAGUCGAGCGAUGAGAUCACUUCGGUGAAGGAUUAGCGGCGAACGGGUGAGGAACACGUGAAGAAUCUGCCUUCAACUCUGGGAUAACUCCGGGAAACCGGGGCUAAUACCGGAUAUGAGCCUUGAUCGCAUGAUCGGGGCUGGAAAGUUUUUCGGUUGAAGAUGACUUCGCGGCCUAUCAGCUUGUUGGUGAGGUAAUGGCUCACCAAGGCGACGACGGGUAGCCGGCCUGAGAGGGCGACCGGCCACACUGGGACUGAGACACGGCCCAGACUCCUACGGGAGGCAGCAGUGGGGAAUAUUGGGCAAUGGACGAAAGUCUGACCCAGCGACGCCGCGUGCGGGAUGAAGGCCUUCGGGUUGUAAACCGCUUUCAGCAGGGAAUAAGCGCAAGUGAAGGUACCUGCAGAAGAAGCACCGGCUAACUAUGUGCCAGCAG
rnacentral:rRNA from 1 species